GGGUUGUGAGGUUAAGCGACUAAGCGUACACGGUGGAUGCCCUGGCAGUCAGAGGCGAUGAAGGACGUGCUAAUCUGCGAUAAGCGUCGGUAAGGUGAUAUGAACCGUUAUAACCGGCGAUUUCCGAAUGGGGAAACCCAGUGUGAUUCGUCACACUAUCAUUAACUGAAUCCAUAGGUUAAUGAGGCGAACCGGGGGAACUGAAACAUCUAAGUACCCCGAGGAAAAGAAAUCAACCGAGAUUCCCCCAGUAGCGGCGAGCGAACGGGGAGCAGCCCAGAGCCUGAAUCAGUGUGUGUGUUAGUGGAAGCGUCUGGAAAGGCGCGCGAUACAGGGUGACAGCCCCGUACACAAAAAUGCACAUACUGUGAGCUCGAUGAGUAGGGCGGGACACGUGGUAUCCUGUCUGAAUAUGGGGGGACCAUCCUCCAAGGCUAAAUACUCCUGACUGACCGAUAGUGAACCAGUACCGUGAGGGAAAGGCGAAAAGAACCCCGGCGAGGGGAGUGAAAAAGAACCUGAAACCGUGUACGUACAAGCAGUGGGAGCCUCUUAAUGGGGUGACUGCGUACCUUUUGUAUAAUGGGUCAGCGACUUAUAUUCUGUAGCAAGGUUAACCGAAUAGGGGAGCCGAAGGGAAACCGAGUCUUAACUGGGCGUUAAGUUGCAGGGUAUAGACCCGAAACCCGGUGAUCUAGCCAUGGGCAGGUUGAAGGUUGGGUAACACUAACUGGAGGACCGAACCGACUAAUGUUGAAAAAUUAGCGGAUGACUUGUGGCUGGGGGUGAAAGGCCAAUCAAACCGGGAGAUAGCUGGUUCUCCCCGAAAGCUAUUUAGGUAGCGCCUCGUGAAUUCAUCUCCGGGGGUAGAGCACUGUUUCGGCAAGGGGGUCAUCCCGACUUACCAACCCGAUGCAAACUGCGAAUACCGGAGAAUGUUAUCACGGGAGACACACGGCGGGUGCUAACGUCCGUCGUGAAGAGGGAAACAACCCAGACCGCCAGCUAAGGUCCCAAAGUCAUGGUUAAGUGGGAAACGAUGUGGGAAGGCCCAGACAGCCAGGAUGUUGGCUUAGAAGCAGCCAUCAUUUAAAGAAAGCGUAAUAGCUCACUGGUCGAGUCGGCCUGCGCGGAAGAUGUAACGGGGCUAAACCAUGCACCGAAGCUGCGGCAGCGACACUAUGUGUUGUUGGGUAGGGGAGCGUUCUGUAAGCCUGCGAAGGUGUACUGUGAGGUAUGCUGGAGGUAUCAGAAGUGCGAAUGCUGACAUAAGUAACGAUAAAGCGGGUGAAAAGCCCGCUCGCCGGAAGACCAAGGGUUCCUGUCCAACGUUAAUCGGGGCAGGGUGAGUCGACCCCUAAGGCGAGGCCGAAAGGCGUAGUCGAUGGGAAACAGGUUAAUAUUCCUGUACUUGGUGUUACUGCGAAGGGGGGACGGAGAAGGCUAUGUUGGCCGGGCGACGGUUGUCCCGGUUUAAGCGUGUAGGCUGGUUUUCCAGGCAAAUCCGGAAAAUCAAGGCUGAGGCGUGAUGACGAGGCACUACGGUGCUGAAGCAACAAAUGCCCUGCUUCCAGGAAAAGCCUCUAAGCAUCAGGUAACAUCAAAUCGUACCCCAAACCGACACAGGUGGUCAGGUAGAGAAUACCAAGGCGCUUGAGAGAACUCGGGUGAAGGAACUAGGCAAAAUGGUGCCGUAACUUCGGGAGAAGGCACGCUGAUAUGUAGGUGAAGUCCCUUGCGGAUGGAGCUGAAAUCAGUCGAAGAUACCAGCUGGCUGCAACUGUUUAUUAAAAACACAGCACUGUGCAAACACGAAAGUGGACGUAUACGGUGUGACGCCUGCCCGGUGCCGGAAGGUUAAUUGAUGGGGUUAGCGGUAACGCGAAGCUCUUGAUCGAAGCCCCGGUAAACGGCGGCCGUAACUAUAACGGUCCUAAGGUAGCGAAAUUCCUUGUCGGGUAAGUUCCGACCUGCACGAAUGGCGUAAUGAUGGCCAGGCUGUCUCCACCCGAGACUCAGUGAAAUUGAACUCGCUGUGAAGAUGCAGUGUACCCGCGGCAAGACGGAAAGACCCCGUGAACCUUUACUAUAGCUUGACACUGAACAUUGAGCCUUGAUGUGUAGGAUAGGUGGGAGGCUUUGAAGUGUGGACGCCAGUCUGCAUGGAGCCGACCUUGAAAUACCACCCUUUAAUGUUUGAUGUUCUAACGUUGGCCCCUAAUCGGGGUUGCGGACAGUGUCUGGUGGGUAGUUUGACUGGGGCGGUCUCCUCCUAAAGAGUAACGGAGGAGCACGAAGGUUGGCUAAUCCUGGUCGGACAUCAGGAGGUUAGUGCAAUGGCAUAAGCCAGCUUGACUGCGAGCGUGACGGCGCGAGCAGGUGCGAAAGCAGGUCAUAGUGAUCCGGUGGUUCUGAAUGGAAGGGCCAUCGCUCAACGGAUAAAAGGUACUCCGGGGAUAACAGGCUGAUACCGCCCAAGAGUUCAUAUCGACGGCGGUGUUUGGCACCUCGAUGUCGGCUCAUCACAUCCUGGGGCUGAAGUAGGUCCCAAGGGUAUGGCUGUUCGCCAUUUAAAGUGGUACGCGAGCUGGGUUUAGAACGUCGUGAGACAGUUCGGUCCCUAUCUGCCGUGGGCGCUGGAGAACUGAGGGGGGCUGCUCCUAGUACGAGAGGACCGGAGUGGACGCAUCACUGGUGUUCGGGUUGUCAUGCCAAUGGCACUGCCCGGUAGCUAAAUGCGGAAGAGAUAAGUGCUGAAAGCAUCUAAGCACGAAACUUGCCCCGAGAUGAGUUCUCCCUGACUCCCUGAGAGUCCUGAAGGAACGUUGAAGACGACGACGUUGAUAGGCCGGGUGUGUAAGCGCAGCGAUGCGUUGAGCUAACCGGUACUAAUGAACCGUGAGGCUUAACCUUACAACGCCGAAGCUGUU
rnacentral:rRNA from 1 species